UAGCCGUAAACGAUACUCGCUAGGUGUCGGCCACGGUGCGACCGUUGUCGGUGCCGCAGGGAAGCCGUGAAGCGAGCCACCUGGGAAGUACGGCCGCAAGGCUGAAACUUAAAGGAAUUGGCGGGGGAGCACAACAACGGGUGGAGCUUGCGGUUUAAUUGGAUUCAACGCCGGAAAUCUUACCGGGACCGACAGCAACAUGAAGGCCAAGCUGAAGACUUUGCCGGAUUAGCUGAGAGGAGGUGCAUGGCGUAGUCGUGU
rnacentral:rRNA from 1 species